CCUUUGUGUUCCCGAAUGUAAGCCAUUUUUCUUUCCCUCUUCUUAUACAAUCUUUUCACGCCUCCGUUGGAUCUUCCUCCACGACGGUGUGCUCCUCUCGUUUCCUGGUGAGCGGGUUUCUGAGUUCGACGAGGUUCUUUGACCUUCCACUGCUGCUUCUUUCGCUCGUAAAACCUUUUGAUCGAACGAGGUGUAUUUCUUCGUCAAAGGUGGUACUCCUACUCCGUCGAUUCAUAACCUGGGUCUUGUCUUCUUUGGAUUUGUGCUAGAGCCAUAGUCAAGAUCCAGAUAUAUCUAUCGGCAUUGAUGCUACUCCAUGAGCCAAAGCUUUCCGCUGCAGGAACAAAACCAAGAAUUGGUUCUGAUGAUUGAGGCAAUGCUAUAUUAGGUUUAAUGCAAAACUUGUCUGUUGAAGGAUUGGGUCCACAAUGGAUAAGGCCUGCACCACCGAUGCUCCCAGUGUUAGAUGGAGAACUUAUAUGGCUCAAUCCUGACAGCAAUCAUGAGCUUUUGUGGGAUUAUGGCAUGUGUGCUGACACCAGUCGAGGGGCUGCAGUAAGAGAUUUGAUUGCUAAAGCAUUAAAAGGCCCUCCUGCACCUGCCCAACAAGAGGUCAUGUUCUCUUUCACGCUAACUAGAACUUGCAAAGGAUGCGAAACUCGUCUAUCAUUGUGGACUUACUCCUUCAAAGCUACCGGAUCUUGUUGAGCACAACCCACUUAUAGCUGUUGAAGUUCUUUCAAAGUUGAUGAAUUCUCCUGAAAUUUCGAGUAUUUCACUGUUCUUGUGAAUAUGGAAAUGGGUCUACACUCAAUGGAAGUAGUCAACAGACUGACAGCUACAGUUAGUCUACCAACUGAGUUUGUACACAUGUACAUCACUAACUGUAUAGCAUCAUGAGAAAAUAUAAAGGACAGGUACAUGCAAAACAGACGGGUGAGGUUGGUUUGUGUCUUUCUGCAAAGUCUUAUCAGAAACAAGAUAAUCA